UACGGAGGGGACUAGCGUUGUUCGGAAUUACUGGGCGUAAAGCGCACGCAAGCGGUUGGACAAGUCUGGCGUGAAAUCCUCUGGCUUAACCAGGGGCGGUCGCUGGAGACUGUUCGGCUUGAGGCGAUGAGAGGGGUGCAGAAUUCCCGGUGUAGUGGUGGAAUGCGUAGAGAUCGGGAGGAAUACCAGUGGCGAAAGCGGCACCCUGGCGUCGUACUGACGCACAUGUGCGAAAGCGUGGGGAGCGAACGGG
rnacentral:rRNA from 1 species